rnacentral:lncRNA from 1 species
CAGGGUGGCAUAAAAAUGGAAGAGCAGGGACCCAGGAGACCCAUUCAAAGGGAGAGACUGGAUUGCAAAGGAAAGAAACCUCCUGCCGGCCAAGUUGGGACCAUCAGGGAUCUUCUGCCUCGGGCAGAUUUAUGUCAAAUUAAGCAGGAGCCAGAGGAGGGGCAGCCGCAGCAGCACUGGGAGGCCCAGAAGCAGGAUUUCCUGAAGACGAUGCAGCCCCCUCGUUCAGGGUGGGAAACCCCACAGGCUCCCAGUCCUCCCCACUCUGGGGAUGGUGUCCUCUCCUUCAGGGGAGCUGCAGAUGCCAGUCGGUGGCCCAGUGGGAGAGCAGGGGGGACAGACCAGACCCUGCUCCCAGACACUGAGGGGCUUCUGGGAAAGGAAGCUGCAACUGGCUCUGGAUUCUGCGCUCCUCAGGAAGCUGAACCUGCAAACCUAGCUGAGUCUGAACCUGCAACCCUGGCCAGGAUGGAAGGAGGAAGAUGGACGGUUGACCUGGUCAGGCUAUCUCCCGCAUCCCUCCCCACAACCUCUGAGCAUUCCCUCCCAGGACCCUUGGAGAAAUCUGGUGAGUUCCAGGGGAGAGGAGAUGGGGAGAGGGAUAGAUGGAAGGUGGCGGGAGAAAGAGGAAAAGAUGGAGAGGAGACAAAUGGAAGGAAGUUCCUGACAGGAAGAAGGAAGGGAUGAGGCCUUCUGCAAAGCAGCUCUUUGUUUCUUGAAUCCUUUUCCUAAAGUAGUGGGGGCAGAUUUUCUUCCUCCAGGCUUUGAAAUCUUAGGUGUUAUUUCCACGGCAGGAAUAAUUGAUGAUAAUGAUGUUGCACACCAAUCCUGAACAAUGGGUGAAGGGGAAUGGAAAUGUUUCCCAUAAUUAUUUAUAAUUAAUAUACAUAAAUUGUUUCUAUUACUCUUAUUGUUUAUAGACAGGGUCAGAAUGAUACAUCCCACCAGCAUCAAAACACAAUAAAUGCAUGCAGCUCCCCAGUUUGGUGGGCUUAAGGGACAAAGGACCAUUUAUCAUGAUACACAAUUCCUGUGGCUGGAGGCUCUACACUUAGGAUUGGGUAUAUUAAGUCCAAGAGUGUCUGGUAUUAUAAGCAAAUUGUGUAAAUCUUACAGACUGGGGUUGUUGAGAGUCAGUGAGUGGGAUAAUAAUUUAUAGCGCCACUGUGAAAAGGCUUGGUUCUCCCGCACACACGUGAGACAACUCCAGUAGUAAUUAUCUCAAACUCAUAAAUCACUGUGGAGCUCAGUCUUCGGCCUGUUCAACCCAGCUUGCAGUUGCCGAGUCCUCCAGCAAAGAA